rnacentral:lncRNA from 1 species
UAUUUUUAACUGAACUCAUGGUUACCCUGGUAGUCCAUCCUCCCAACUGCUCCAAUUCACAGAUAGGAACCUAGGCUAAGAGAGGCUAAUUGCAUAAUUUGCUCCAGGUUAGACCUCUGGUGAGUAGCUGAGCAGGGUCACCUGUUCGGUGGCAAAGUGGUGGCAUCUGGCCGGGCGCGGUGGCUCAUGCCUGUAAUCCCAGCACUUUGGGAGGCUGAGGCAGGUGGAUGACCUGAGGUCGGGAGUUCAAGACCAGCCUGACCUAUAUGGAGAAACCCGGUCUCUACUAAAAAUACAAACUUAGCCAGGUGUGGUGGCACACGCCUGUAAUCCCAGCUAUUCAGGAGGCUGAGGCAGGAGAAUCGCUUGAACCCGGGAGCUGGAGUUUGCAGUGAGCCGAGAUUGCACCACUGCACUCCAGUCUGGGCAACAGAGCGAGACUCCAUCAAAACAAACAAACAAACAAACAACAAAAAAACCCACAAACAAACCACACACACAAAAACGCAAAGGUUAGGCUUCAUCCCAGCCCCCGUGGAUCAGAAACUCUGGCGCUAGGGACCAGCAAUCUGUUUUAAGGAGCUCUCCAGGUGAGCUGGAGGCUACAAUUAGAGAAUGACUGCUCUGGGCUCCAGGAGAAGGUAAGGAAAGCAGGUACGUGCUUUCGCUGCAGAAGGCAAAUUGUAUUGUUUCAACCUUUUUGAAUUACCUAUGGAUAACAGGUAUUGUGAGCCUGUAAACGGCCACCAAUGGCACCUCUGAGAAGCCACUGAGAAGUAGACAUGGUUUUAUCCAUGGAGGUAUUUAAGACAAUGUAUUUAUAAACAUGGAAUACUGGAAACAGUCUGAGUCUCCAGCAAUAGGGGACUGGGGAGAGAAACCUUGGUUCAUCUAAAAGAUGGCUGCUGUGCAGUUUUGAAAAGUGAGUGUGUAAAGACCGCACAACGUGGUACAAUAGGAGCAGACAAGUCCUCCUGGGUUGCCCAGGACUUUCCCAAUUUUAGCACAAGAAGGCCGGCAUUUUGGAAAACUCCUUGGUCCUGAGAAAAUGGGGACAAUUGGUCACCCUAGCUAUAAUCGGCACUAGUGCCACACCCCAAGUAUUACUGUCCUCCCAUGUUGCAUGGCCGGUGGUAGGAUGGUAUUUCAUCUGGCCUUGCAGUGAGGUAGCUAUGUGACAUGUUUUGGCCAAUGCAAUGUGAGCGGAAGUGGCAUGUCACAUCCAGACAGCGCUCCUGGCAAUUCAUGCCAGGAUGGCACCUCCUCAGCCUAGGUCCCUGAGUGACUAUGAUAAGCAGAGACUCCAUGCCGAUCCCUACCCUGCAAUCCCAGGGCAUAGGGUGUGAGCAAGACAUAACCUCUUGUGGUGUGUGAAGCCACUGAGAUUUGGGGAUAUUUGUUGCCACAGUGUAACCUAACCUGUCCUGGCUGGUAUACACGUGGACAUCCGGAUUUCAUAGUUUUAAGGCUUAAGUGUUAGGCCGGGCAUGGUGCCUCACACCUGCAAUCUCAGUACUUUGGGAAGGCCGAGGCGUGCAGAUCACUUGAGGUCAGGAGUUCGAGACCAGCCUGGGCAACAUGGUGAAACCCCGCCUCUACUAAAAAUACAAAAAUUAGCCGGGUGUGGUGGUGCAUGCCUGUAAUCCCAGCUACUCGGGAGGCUGAGGCAGGAGAAUCGCUUGAACCUGGGAGGAGGAGGUUGCAGUGAGCUGAGAUUGUGCCACUGCACUCUAGCCUCAGGGACAGAGCGAGAAUCUGUCUCCAGAAAAAAAAAAAAAAUUGGCUUAAGGUUACAAAACUGCAUUUGCAGUAUCAUUGCAGAGACAUAACAGGUGUGUUGGAAAUAUUCUGAAAUGUUUACAAAAUUAUCAGGUAGAGGAAUUCUUGGUCUAGGUUUUUUUUUAACUUUUAGGAUUGGGAUACAUGUGCAGGUUUGUUAUAUAGAUAAACUGCCAUGUGAGUUUGGUAUACGGAUAAUUUUGUCACCCAGGUAAUAAGCAUAAUACCCACCAGGUAUUUUUUUCUAAUCCUCUCCGUCCUCCCACUGUCCACCCUCCAGAAGGCCCCAGUGUCUGUUGUCCCUCUCCUAGUAUUCAUGUGUCCUCAUUAUUUAGCUUCCACUUAUACGUGAGAACAUGCGGUAUUUGGUUUUCUGCUCCUGUCUAUGUUCGUUUGCUUAGGAUAAUGGCCUCCAGCUCUAGCCGUGUUGCAACAGAGGACAUGAUCUCAUUUGUUUUUUGGUCUAAGUUUUUCUUCCUCUUCAUUGCGCUUUCCAAUUUUCUGCAAUGAGCAUGUUUUAUUAAUUUUUAAAUGGGGGACAUUUUCUGAAAAAAUCAUUUCUUUGGAUCAAAGGUUGGUCCCCUCUGGGCUCUUAUUUAUGAACUGAAAAUCCCUUGGGGGAGGGAGAAAGAGAAGAGUUAAGCUUUAGCCUCAAAGGAUCACAGGGACUGGAAAGGUCACAGAAUUAAUCCUGCCCUUCUGCUGGAGCCUUCUAGCUGGUGGCUCCUCCUGGCCUUAGCAAUUGGAUCAGAUGCCUGUUCCUGGUCGUGUGACUCUGGGCAAGUCACAAGCUCUCUGAGCCUCCACGUCCUCAUCUGUUAAAUGGGAAUAAUCCUGUUUACCUUGUGGGCUCCUGGGAGGAUCAGAUGAGAUGAAGUAUGUUCUACAAAUGCCGGCGCCUUCUGCCUCGGUCUUCUUCAUGGAGCCUCCGUGCUGGGUGACUUAGGGCGUGUGCCUGAAUGUCUGUGACCUUUGAUUUCAUCAUGGAAGAACAGGCAGGGUGCUUUUUUAGGCCAGGGCAUUUCUGGAUGGGGCUGGAGGCCCCCGUACAGAAGCUGAGAGGGAUGGAAAAGGAGAGGGCUUGUAGGCCUUGGUGUUCAGCAGCCGAACAAAAACUUUGAGCCUGGCAACCCCAGACCACGAAGCCAGCCCACCAAAAGCCAAAUGGUGAAACCUCUGGAGUCUUAAAGUAGCCCCGGGGACAGGGGUGGUCAGGGAGGGCUUCCUGCAGGAGGAGAGCUGGCAGGAUGGCAUGGACAGCCCCCAUUGCCUUCCAUGGUUCUGUCCUGUUCAGAGUCCUUGAACUCAGCCCUCUCGAGGGAGACUCCAUCAAGAAUAUAACAGUGACAGCUAAUAUCUGCUGACGGCGUGCAGUAGACCAGGUUUACCCAAUCCAGUGUCAGUCCACACGGUGCCACUUUGGGGUAGGACUUGGGGAGACUCACCGUGGAGAAAAGUUCGCUGGGUGAAUUGGUGGCUGAACCCCAUCUGCUCCGGAGGAAACAGCUGUCCUUUCCUUCUCCAGGAUAAAGCAGCCACGGGGCACAACUCUUCCAGUCCACAGGGCCACCCAGAAUGACCCCAGUUCCUUGCUGCACCUUGUGGAUAUGUCUGAUCUCUACCGUGACCCUAUGUCUUGGGGUGCCUGGAGCAGUCCUGGUUUCUGCCUGUUGUCCUGGCGUCCCCUGGAAUCCAGAUUCCAGCACUCAUAGGAAGGGCUAUUAUGGAUGAUGAGUUUGUGGUCGCCCUGACACAGGUUUCAGAUCAGAUGGCGCUGGUUCCAUGCCGGCUCAGGUCCUUCUUGGCUGGGCCAGAGUGCGCCUGAGGGCCCUUCUCUGUAAAAUGGGGAUAGUCACGCCUGCUUAGGGAGUGCUGGAAGGUUGGAAGACAGCAUGUAGUGGGAGGCGCUGGCCUUAGCGAGUGCUCCAUGGUUGGCGGCUUUGGCCAUGACAUACUGAUGCUGGGCAUGGUGGGGGUGGGCCGGGGUGUCCAGGGCAAACCUGGGUCUUUGUGGGUUACUUUUGAGGGUCACGUGCUGUUAAGAACCCACACACUGGGAUUGGAACCCAGGCCUGCAGGUGGACCCCAGGACCCAGGUGCCUGCCAGUACACACCACUGAGCCAAGACUAAAUGGCCAAGAAAGGGGAGGGGGCGGAAUCGGGCAGACAGGGGAGGGAGGGGCAAGUGGGAGAGGUGGGAGUGGGGAGAGGAGGAGGAGAUAAGAGGGUGAGAGGGUGCGGAAGAGGAGGUGGGAAGGGCUUUCUGCUGAGCCCAGGACUCUUGUCUAACUCGCAGCUGAAGGUGUCCACGGGGAGGUCCUGCUGCCCCUCUGACGCAGUGUGACCUGUUCACCUCCCCUCCGCCCGACUCCUUCCCCACACCUGCCCUUCGCUGGGCUGUUUCGGGGAAUGCUGUCACCUCCCACAAGUCUUAGCCCCGGAGGCCCAUCAAGCCUCUUUCCUCCUGUCCAGCGACCGCUCUGUUCCUCCCUCACCUCCUCCAGCCCCCUGUGGCCCACCUAGCCUCCUUAAUCCAUCCCUUGAGUGGUCGAUCCUAGGGGCUAUCCCCAGACGGCUUCCAGCCGUCUCUCUCCUGCUUUGAACCCUUUCCUGGCUCCCCGUCACCGUCCUGGUAAAGUCACCCACGCAGGCUGGCCAGUGUGUCUCCGCUUCUGUUGCAUUCCAAGUCCAGCUGUUCUAGGCAGGCCUCCUCCAGGCCCACCAAAGAAUUCACCGCUUCUCAAAUGUGCCAAACUCCUGUGUGGGGGCUCCGUGCUCCAGUCUCCCCAGGCCCCACAGCCCCUCUUCCCUCAUCCUUACCGUCGCUCCCAACGCUGUCCCCAUAGCGAGGUCACUUCAUCCUCCUCCGCCGGCCCUGCCUGCAGACCAGAUUCGCCCACGUUUCUCCAGAGCCCAGCGCCCGGCCUGGAACCACCACGGGAAGAGCAUGUUCUCCCCAAAGAGGCCCUGUGGAGUCUGGCUUUUCUCCUGGAGGGUGGUUGUUGGAUCUUGGGCAGAGGAGGCUGUGCUGUCAGGAAGAAGCCAAAAGGGAUGGGACAACAUUGCCAGACAGGGAGGGAGGUGGGGCUGGCUCGCGGGGACGGUCCAGAGAGGGUCCCCACUGGGCCAGGAUCACAUGGCAGUUUGGGGCAAGGCCAGGAUUUUGACCCAGAUGUGUGUCACUCUCUGGCUUCAUUCUUCAGCCAUUCUGGGUGCAGUCUGGAGAGUUGGGAGGCAUGCAGGAGUGAGUGGCUGGGUCUCUGGUGCCCCUCAGAGGCCAGGCUCUCAGGACACUUGGGGUAGGAGGUGGUCCUCCCAUUGAAGGGAAGGAGGGUCUGGAGCCUGCAGUGUCCUGGUGGGAGCAGGCCUGUCUUUGAUGCUCACACUUGCAGACCCCUGGGGAAGGCCUGAGUCAUCACUGAGCCGGCAAACAUAUUUAGCUCCUUUUAUGUCCCUAAUAAAUCAAUUUCUCCAGGUCUUUCAUACCUGCCACUCGACUCGGGCUGCCUGCCCCCAUCUCCUGUCCCCUGGCAGCUCUGUGUGCCAGGCUUCAAGAUGGAGGGGCUCCUCCUCCCCAGAUGGGAAACCUGAGGCUCAGAGAGCUUAGGAAACCUGCUUAAGGCACAGGGUAGAGAGGGCAGGAGCUGUGUUGCAGCGGUGCCUGUUGCAUGUGGAAGUCUCCCUUCAAGGUUUGCAUCAUGGAACUCACCUGGCCCAACCUCUCAGGGAGGAAAAUUCCAACCAGAGAGGGUGCGUGUCCUGUCCCCAGCCUGGCUGCCAAUACUUGAGCACCCUCCUCAGAGAAGCCUCCCCGGAUUGCCCUCUGCCCAGCCCAGCCCAGCCCAGCCCUCCACUGCCUGCUCUGCGUCCUCUGGAACAGCGUGUGUUCAGUACUGCAGGGAUGUGAGCCCCAUGCAGGCAGGGAUUCGGCCUUGUUGUACCAGUGUCUGGGACAGUGCCUGGCACAACGUAGGUGCUCCAUAAACAUUUGUGGGAUGUACAAAUAAAUGAAGGUUAUUGAAUUCAAGCUCCUCCGUUACCCACCAAGUGAUCCUUGGAGCAGCAGUGCUUGCACUCCUCCAGCAACGGGGAACAUUCUACUCACCUCCCG